rnacentral:rRNA from 1 species
AGCGAACGCUGGCGGCAGGCCUAACACAUGCAAUUCGAACGAACUCUUCGGAGUUAGUGGCGGACGGGUGAGUAACACGUGGGAACGUGCCUUUUGGUUCGGAAUAACUCAGGGAAACUUGUGCUAAUACCGAAUGUGCCCUUCGGGGGAAAGAUUUAUCGCCAUUAGAGCGGCCCGCGUCUGAUUAGCUAGUUGGUGAGGUAACGGCUCACCAAGGCGACGAUCAGUAGCUGGUCUGAGAGGAUGACCAGCCACACUGGGACUGAGACACGGCCCAGACUCCUACGGGAGGCAGCAGUGGGGAAUCUUGCGCAAUGGGCGAAAGCCUGACGCAGCCAUGCCGCGUGAAUGAUGAAGGUCUUAGGAUUGUAAAAUUCUUUCACCGGGGACGAUAAUGACGGUACCCGGAGAAGAAGCCCCGGCUAACUUCGUG